rfam:Ovis aries breed Texel chromosome 11, whole genome shotgun sequence.
UCCCUGGUGGGCCAGUGGUUACGACGUGGCACUUUCACUGCUGGUGCCCAGGUUCAAUCCCUGGUCAGGGAG